ACCGCAAGAAAGAAGCCUUGAGUUUGGU
rnacentral:piRNA from 1 species